rnacentral:lncRNA from 1 species
GGAGAACACUAUGGAAGAGUGUGAAUUCCAGGAGGUGUGGAUCAUUGGAAGCCAUCUUGAAGGCUAGCUAUCAUAAAAACAAAGAAGAUGGGCCACACCUAGCCAGUUUUCUAUAGAUCUUUCUCUCCAGGACCCUGUGUCUCAUUACAGAGAUAAAUACUGGCCUCUCCUUGGUUUCCAUGGAGAACCAACUAUACUACCACAUUCUCUCUUUCUGCUAGAAAAAACUGCCACCGUCUCUUUUCUCCUUCUUAGCCAUGGCCACAGAAUAUCAUUUUUGUCAUUACCUGUGAAUGCUCUCAUGGAUGUCUUGCCUACAUGCUACGCUAUACAACUAAAUCUUUCUAUUUUGUCUUUAGAGGAAAAUCCACUGGUACAGUUAGAAAUUCUACACAUAGCAAAAAAAAAAAAGAAAAGAAAAAGAAAAGUUCCUAAUGGGAAUACUAGCCUAGAUAACAGUGUUUUCCUCAGUGGACCCCUUCUGCAAAGGAGACACUGCUUGUGAAAUACUUGUCUCUGGCAAGAGACAGUGGAAUGUGGAACUCGGAACUCAAUGUGGGAACAAAGAAAUUUUAAAUGGUGUCCUUUUGCCUUCUUCCUUCAACUAGACUUUAAAGAGCUAUGUCUGUAUUGUUCACUAUUAUAUCUUGGAAUUUGUCCAACUGGUUGUUAAACCAUCAGUAUCUUGAAAUCAGCCAUGAUGGAACUAUUUACAGCAUGGAUGCUGGAAAAUGCUACAAAACAGACUUCUCUCCCUACUCAAGAGCCAGUUGUUAAAUAUUUACCGGCACACCACUAGAGGGAACCAAUAGUUGUAAACAAAUAAAACUGUCUAUCAUUGUUUCCUUGGCAACCAGGGGCCUCUAGGAGCCCAACAGUAGCAAUGGAUGAAUAAUACCUAAAAAUUCUUCAAGUGUGGGCUGGACAGUGCUAAGUGCUGUCAUUUAAGGAACCCCAGGUGCAAAGGCUUGGCCUCCCCCAAUCCCACACUGUCAUCUGUCCACCUCCCACACUCACCAAUUGAUGUACACUGUGAAGAUUUCCUGAGCUAGAGCCUGAAGUCAAAGGUAUUUGUGGAUUCCCCCUGGAGACUAUCCCAUCCUAAGGAUGAUGAAAGGAUUAAGGAGAAACCAUCUUGAAAGGAUACCAAUAGGUUUCAGCAGAACUGCCUCCGAAAAACACCAAGUCUGCGUUUCUGCACAAAAUCCGUGGGCAUUUGCCCGCCUGCUUUGUCCUUCCUCUAUUGCUCCCAAUUUCCCUCUCUUGGCCUCCACCCCCACUUCCCCCACCCCACCCCAGAGGGCUGGUUCCAAUUGCAAAG